rnacentral:rRNA from 1 species
UACAGAGGGAGCAAGCGUUGUUCGGAAUUACUGGGCGUAAAGGGCGCGUAGGCGGUUCGAUAAGUCCCGUGUGAAAUCCUUCGGCUCAACUGAGGAAUGGCACGGGAAACUGACGGGCUUGAGUUCGGGAGAGGGAAGCGGAAUUCCGGGUGUAGCGGUGAAAUGCGUAGAUAUCCGGAGGAACACCGGUGGCGAAGGCGGCUUCCUGGACCGACACUGACGCUGAGGCGCGAAAGCUAGGGGAGCAAACGGG